rnacentral:rRNA from 1 species
GACGAACGCUGGCGGCGUGCCUAAUACAUGCAAGUAGAACGCUGAAGGAGGAGCUUGCUUCUCUGGAUGAGUUGCGAACGGGUGAGUAACGCGUAGGUAACCUGCCUGGUAGCGGGGGAUAACUAUUGGAAACGAUAGCUAAUACCGCAUAAGAGUAGAUGUUGCAUGACAUUUGCUUAAAAGGUGCAAUUGCAUCACUACCAGAUGGACCUGCGUUGUAUUAGCUAGUUGGUGGGGUAACGGCUCACCAAGGCGACGAUACAUAGCCGACCUGAGAGGGUGAUCGGCCACACUGGGACUGAGACACGGCCCAGACUCCUACGGGAGGCAGCAGUAGGGAAUCUUCGGCAAUGGACGGAAGUCUAACCGAGCAACGCCGCGUGAGUGAAGAAGGUUUUCGGAUCGUAAAGCUCUGUUGUAAGAGAAGAACGAGUGUGAGAGUGGAAAGUUCACACUGUGACGGUAUCUUACCAGAAAGAGACGGCUAACUACGUG